GACGAACGCUGGCGGCGUGCUUAACACAUGCAAGUCGAGCGGUAAGGCCCUUUCGGGGGUACGACGAGCGGCGAACGGGUGAGUAACACGUGGGUGACCUGCCCUCAGCUCUGGGAUAAGCCCGGGAAACGUGGGUCUAAUACUGGAUAUUACUCUGCGGUGCAUGCCGUGGGGUGGAAAGCCUUGUGCGGCUGGGGAUGGGCCCGCGGCCUAUCAGCUUGUUGGUGGGGUGAUGGCCACCAAGGCGACGACGGGUAGCCGG
rnacentral:rRNA from 1 species